GAUCAUGGCUCAGGAUGAACGCUGGCGGUAUGCUUAACACAUGCAAGUCGAACGGUGUAGAGACGUAGCAAUGCUACGUCUCUACAUAGUGGCGGACGGGUGAGUAACGCGUGAGAAUCUGGCUUUGGGUUCGGGAUAACAGUUGGAAACGACUGCUAAUACCGGAUAUGCCUUUCGGGGUGAAAGAUUAAUUGCCUGGAGAUGAGCUCGCGUCAGAUUAGCUAGUUGGUGGGGUAAGAGCCUACCAAGGCGACGAUCUGUAGCUGGUCUGAGAGGAUGAUCAGCCACACUGGAACUGAGACACGGUCCAGACUCCUACGGGAGGCAGCAGUGGGGAAUUUUCCGCAAUGGGCGAAAGCCUGACGGAGCAAUACCGCGUGAGGGAGGAAGGCUCUUGGGUUGUAAACCUCUUUUCUUAGGGAAUAAGAACGUGAAGGUACCUAAGGAAUAAGCAUCGGCUAACUCCGUGCCAGCAGCCGCGGUAAUACGGAGGAUGCAAGCGUUAUCCGGAAUGAUUGGGCGUAAAGCGUCCGUAGGUAGUUAUUCAAGUCUGCUGUCAAAGGAUGAGGCUUAACUUCAUAAAGGCAGUGGAAACUGAAAGACUAGAGAGCGUUCGGGGCAGGGGGAAUUCCUGGUGUAGCGGUGAAAUGCGUAGAGAUCAGGAAGAACACCGGUGGCGAAAGCGCCCUGCUAGGCCGCAUCUGACACUGAGGGACGAAAGCUAGGGGAGCGAAUGGGAUUAGAUACCCCAGUAGUCCUAGCUGUAAACGAUGGAUACUAGGCGUUGCGUGUAUCGACCCACGCAGUGUCGUAGCUAACGCGUUAAGUAUCCCGCCUGGGGAGUACGCACGCAAGUGUGAAACUCAAAGGAAUUGACGGGGGCCCGCACAAGCGGUGGAGUAUGGUGGUUUAAUUCGAUGCAACGCGAAGAACCUUACCAGGGCUUGACAUGUCCGGAAUUUGGAUGAAAGUUCAGAGUGCCUUCGGGAGCCGGAACACAGGUGGUGCAUGGCUGUCGUCAGCUCGUGUC
rnacentral:rRNA from 1 species